AAGGUUAGCUGUUCUGUUGGUCCAGUUCUGAGAACAGCACCGGAUAGAUUCCAGAGCUUUCUGUCAAUCAAAUUCAAACUGCUCAGACAGGAAAUGAAACGCUGUCAGAAUGAAACCUGGAGCUUCACACUGGCAGCACAGAGCUCUGUUGACAGUAGGAUGAGGCAGGGGAAAGAGGAAAGAUGGCUGGAUGGAUAUCUGUUGUGAUUAGACGGGUCUCGGAGGAGAUCUGCAGUGCUGGUAAACAGCUUGUCGGGCUUCUUCUGGCCUUCCAUCAUGCUGACAAUCAAACAGCUGACCCAAAGAAGAUCAGACCGUUUUUCGCUUACCUUUUCCAGCUUCGACUACUGCUGUUCUCUCCAGAAAAUAUCAGCCAAGUGUUUCUCAAAUCUUAAUCCUACAGUAAGUGACACUUAAACAUGUAGACACAUUCCCUGGUGUAUUAACUCUAAAUUCAGGAAUUAAUUUAUUAUAAUGAAUUUGUGUAAAAUUAUGUACUUUAGUUUUGCCAUAGUCUUUCCCCCAGGAGACCAAUAAAGCAAUAGAACUACAAAGAGAAAAUAAAACCAGUGUGAAUUGUCAUCCCCGAGGGUAAGGAACAAUUUUACAUAUUUGUUAUUUAACACGGGACUCGAGAGGAUGAAAUAAUAGAAAGAAAGAUGACAAAAGAAAACAAGAAGGGAUGUGUUAACCUUUUUGUUACUCUAAUAAUAUUCUCUGACAUGAGCCUCUGCUCGUCUAAACAAU